rnacentral:rRNA from 1 species
UACGGAGGGUGCAAGCGUUAUCCGGAUUCACUGGGUUUAAAGGGUGCGUAGGUGGGCAGGAGUCAGUGGUGAAAUCUCCGGGCUUAACUCGGAACUGCCAUUGAUACUAUCUGUCUUGAAUACCGUGGAGGUCAGCGGAAUAUGUCAUGUAGCGGUGAAAUGCGUUAGAUAUGACAUAGAACACCAAUUGCGAAGGCAGCUUACUACCCGAAAUAUUGACACUGAGGCACGAAAGCGUGGGGAUCAAACAGG